AUUGAACGCUGGCGGAAUACUUUACACAUGCAAGUCGAACGGCAGCACGGACUUCGGUCUGGUGGCGAGUGGCGAACGGGUGAGUAAUGUAUCGGCACGUGCCCAGUCGUGGGGGAUAACGUAGUGAAAAUUACGCUAAUACCGCAUACGAUCUAUGGAUGAAAGCGGGGGAUCGCAAGACCUCGCGCGAUUGGAGCGGCCGAUAUCAGAUUAGGUAGUUGGUGGGGUAAAGGCCCACCAAGCCAACGAUCUGUAGCUGGUCUGAGAGGACGACCAGCCACACUGGAACUGAGACACGGUCCAGACUCCUACGGGAGGCAGCAGUGGGGAAUUUUGGACAAUGGGCGAAAGCCUGAUCCAGCCAUUCCGCGUGCAGGAUGAAGGCCCUCGGGUUGUAAACUGCUUUUGUACAGAACGAAAAGGUUUCUACUAAUACUAGGAGCUCAUGACGGUACUGUAAGAAUAAGCACCGGCUAACUACGUGCCAGCAGCCGCCGUAA
rnacentral:rRNA from 1 species